rnacentral:tRNA from 3 species
GGAGGAUUGGCCGAGUGGCUGAAGGCAGCGGUUUACUAAACCGCCAGAGGGUAAAACUUCUCGUGGGUUCGAAUCCCACAUCCUCCGCAA